rnacentral:rRNA from 1 species
UACGUAGGGUGCGAGCGUUGUCCGGAAUUACUGGGCGUAAAGAGCUCGUAGGUGGUUUGUCGCGUUGUUCGUGAAAACUCACAGCUCAACUGUGGGCGUGCGGGCGAUACGGGCAGACUGGAGUACUGCAGGGGAGACUGGAAUUCCUGGUGCAGCGGUGGAAUGCGCAGAUAUCAGGAGGAACACCGAUGGCGAAGGCAGGUCUCUGGGCAUUAACUGACGCUGAGGAGCGAAAGCAUGGGGAGCGAACAGG